GUGAAUCUUGAAAAUCCUGGAAAUGAAACGUAACCUCCAAUGAUUGAAGAGUGAUUGGUAUUUAUAGAUUUUAGGUUAGAAAUGUAAACUCAAAUUCAUCUGAAAUUUUAUCGAGCUAGUUAGAAAUUUAGAAAAUCUGUUAGAGUGUUAAUGAAUGUGAAAUGAGUUAGUUUGAGUUAGUUAAUUAGUUAUACAAAUUUCAGUUAGUGUGGUUGAUUGUGAUUCUGUGUGUGUUGCCUCUGUUAGUUAUUGUGGCCUUCAAUUUGGGUGUUGUUGAAUGAAAAGUAUGCAGGGUCGUAUGCGUUAUGAAGGAGCUUCUAAUUUCUGCAGGCUAAAAUUAUUUUGAAUUUUUGACUUGGUGUGUUCAAUACACGAAUUUUGCAGGGUUAUGUUAGUGAGUUUUCACUUAUGUUCUAUUCUGAAUUAUGCAAUGCAUUUUUUUGGAUUUCUGUCCAUAGAUAUGAAGGUUGCAAUGUUUGGGAAUUUCUAUGCUAUGCUCAUUUGCUGCUGCUUGGGAAUGGCCUACGCUGCUAGUUAUAUGGAAUCUUGUUCUUUAGUUUGUUGAGCAAGUUUGCAGGUGGAAACCUGGCUUGGAGUUUUUAUGUCAUGAGCUUUGUUGAUUCGUUAUGUUGUUUGAAACAUUAGGGACCAUUUGGAAUUAAAUUGGGAAAUUGGGAUUGAUGUUUGGACUGUGGUAAUUGUGAAUGGGAUUGAGUUAUGGAAAGUUGUAUUGAAUGGUUUAUCAAAUUGUGAACGUGGACGAAUUUGAAUAUGGAAAAUUGUAUUGAAUUUGUAUGGAAAGUGUAUUAAAUUACAAGUUGAAAUGUGUAUUGUUUGAAUUUUAUUGGAUAUGGCAUGUUAAUUGUGAAUGUAUGGUUUUAGACUAUGUGGUUUGAAUAUGUGUUAUAUGGAAAAUUAAUUGAACAAGUUGAAAUGAGAAAUAAA
rnacentral:lncRNA from 1 species